rnacentral:rRNA from 1 species
GCCUACGGGAGGCAGCAGUGGGGAAUAUUGGUCAAUGGCCGAGAGGCUGAACCAGCCAAGUCGCGUGAGGGAAGACGGCCCUACGGGUUGUAAACCUCUUUUGUCGGGGAGCAAAGCGAACCACGUGUGGUUCAUUGAGAGUACCCGAAGAAAAAGCAUCGGCUAACUCCGUGCCAGCAGCCGCGGUAGUACGGAGGAUGCGAGCGGUAUCCGGAUUUAUUGGGUUUAAAGGGUGCGCAGGCGGAGGUGCAAGUCAGCGGUCAAAUUGCGGGGCUCAACCCCGUACUGCCGUUGAAACUGCAUCC